rnacentral:rRNA from 1 species
GACAGAGGGUGCAAACGUUGCUCGGAAUCACUGGGCGUAAAGGGCGUGUAGGCGGGAAGGAAAGUCGGGCGUGAAAUCCCUGGGCUCACCACGAAGACUGCACUCGAAACUUCUUUUCUUGAGUGCCGGAGAGGAAAGCGGAAUUCCUGGUGUAGAGGUGAAAUUCGUAGAUAUCAGGAGGAACACCAGUGGCGAAGGCGGCUUUCUGGACGGUAACUGACGCUGAGACGCGAAAGCGUGGGGAGCAAACAGG